rnacentral:rRNA from 1 species
UGAUGUGAAAGCCCCCGGCUCAACCGGGGAGGGUCAUUGGAAACUGGGGAACUUGAGUGCAGAAGAGGAGAGCGGAAUUCCACGUGUAGCGGUGAAAUGCGUAGAGAUGUGGAGGAACACCAGUGGCGAAGGCGGCUCUCUGGUCUGUAACUGACGCUGAGGCGCGAAAGCGUGGGGAGCGAACAGGAUUAGAUACCCUGGUAGUCCACGCCGUAAACGAUGAGUGCUAAGUGUUAGAGGGUUUCCGCCCUUUAGUGCUGCAGCAAACGCAUUAAGCACUCCGCCUGGGGAGUACGGCCGCAAGGCUGAAACUCAAAGGAAUUGACGGGGGCCCGCACAAGCGGUGGAGCAUGUGGUUUAAUUCGAAGCAACGCGAAGACCCUUACCAGGUCUUGACAUCCUCUGACAACCCUAGAGAUAGGGCUUUCCCCUUCGGGGGACAGAGUGACAGGUGGUGCAUGGUUGUCGUCAGCUCGUGUCGUGAGAUGUUGGGUUAAGUCCCGCAACGAGCGCAACCCUUGAUCUUAGUUGCCAGCAUUAAGUUGGGCACUCUAAGGUGACUGCCGGUGACAAACCGGAGGAAGGUGGGGAUGACGUCAAAUCAUCAUGCCCCUUAUGACCUGGGCUACACACGUGCUACAAUGGAUGGAACAAAGGGCAGCGAAGCCGCGAGGUGAAGCCAAUCCCAUAAAACCAUUCUCAGUUCGGAUUGCAGGCUGCAAC